UGGAUGGGUGGAUGGAUGGGUGGAUUCGUGGAUGGGUGGGUGGAUGAGUGAUGGAUGGGUGGCUGGGUGGGUGAUAGAUAGGUGGAAAGACUGUGGAUGGACUCCUGGGCAUUCCAGCGGGCCCGUUGAUGGCAUGAGGCACCCUGGCUUCUCGGAGGAGGGUUAUGCGGAAGAGCACAUGGGAUGAUGGGUGAAUCUGUGGACAGCUGGACACCUGGGCCUCUCAUCGAGCUGCCAGGUGGGUAGGCCAUCGGGUUGGAAGAGGAAAGGCUGGGCAGGAGGAGGGUGGAGUCAGGCAACCGAGGGGGACUCAGGGCCCUGGGGAGAGGGUCCUGCCAGAAGCCAGCACCCCCAUGCGUCCUGGGGCCUGGGAGGAGCUGAGGUGGCCCUGCCCUUACCCCCCACAUCUGGGCCUCUGGGGGCCCCUCUGAGUCCCUUGGACUUGGUCGGAGACUGGUGGGGUUGGGGGAGCUCAGAGUGGGUCUCUGCAUGGCACCCCAACCCCUACUCACCCCGAGUCUUGCCUCGGCCCUGCAUGGAGAAGGCGGGGGUGCAGCUCCGGCCAAAGCGGGUGACCUUCGGGUCCAGGAAAUAGAUGGGCCCUGGGCUGGUAUCCUGGCGUGUUGCUGCAGAGGGGCAGGAGUCUGAGGUCUCCCCGGGGGUGAUGGUGGCCUGACAGGCUGGGGCCCUGCUGUCCCCUCCCCCCAACACUCUGUCUCCACACACCUCCCACCCUGAGUCCCCAGUGGGGACCAGCUCCCUGCACAUUGGGGUUCAUCCCAGCACUCAGGAGGCUGAGGCAGGAGGAUCGCCACAAGUUCAAGACCAGCCUGGGCUACAUAGUGAGACCCUGUCUCCAAAAAAAAAAAAAAAAAAAAAAAUGGAACUUCUGGUGCAGGACCCAGUGCUUGGCCUGUCCCCUGUACUGUCACAUGUCACAGCCUAUCCUGCUUCCGCAUUCCCACCCCAUCUCUGCGACAAGUGGAUCCACCUAUGCUGCAGCCUCUACCUACAGAUCAUUGGUACUCCUGAGGCUUCCACCAAACUCCUACUUAUCCCCAAAAGCCCAGAUCUCAGGCCUCAGCUCUCACUGUCUACCCUGGGCCUUGGGCAAAUAGUCUUCACUCUAUUCAAAAGAACCAGGCAUGGGGCUGGGGGUUUAGCUCAGCGACAAGCACGAGGUUGUGCGUUUGGCCCGGCGAGGAAAUUGGCUCUGCACUCACACCGACAGCACACUUUUACUGGCCACUCACUGGACACCGGGCACUAUGGUCACUGCUGCCCCCCCCCAUGGUGGCUAGGCAAGGUCCUGCCACCGAGCCAGGGCCUCAGCCCUGAAUCAACAUUUUUUCUUUUUGUUUUAUGAGACAGAGUCUCCUCUGUGUGGCCCAGGCUGGCCUUGAACUUGUGUCGAUUCUCCUGCCUCAGCCUCCCGAGUGCUGGGAUCACAGACCUGGCCACCACCACGCCGGACUGAUACGAACGUUUAAUAGAGGCAGGAGGACAGAACAGACACCCAGCUUGCAAAACCCAGAGGCAAAGAGACCCAGGUCUCAAACACGGCCCUCCCCUUCUCUCUAUCACGGAGGAAACUGGACCAGAGAGAACCGGCCGCCUGCGCCGGGUCACACAGCAAGCGCAGUUUCACUAUGUAGCCCAGGCUGGCGUCAAACUCACAGUGACCCUCCUGCUUCAGCCUCCCGAGUGCCGGAAUGACAGGGUGCACUACCACGCCCAGCUGCAUUUCAUGGCUUCAAACAGGCGGAAACUUUGGACGGACCCAGAGACACAGAGAAGGAAGGUGGGGGAAGGCAGAGGCAGUUACACCAAGCCCCCACCAGAACUGAAUGAGGCAAGGCAGGGUUUGGUUGGGGGGAGCCCAGCCCUGUGCCACCUGGAUUUUGGACUUCCGGUCUCCAGGCAGUGAAGGGAGAAGAUAUUCCCAGUGUUGCAGACACUUGGUCAUCAUGGUUAGCUGUGGCAUUCAAGAAAUGAAUAAAGGGCUUCCUCGCUGGGGCUGUAAA